rnacentral:rRNA from 1 species
UACGGAGGGGGCGAGCGUUAUUCGGAAUUAUUGGGCGUAAAGGGCGCGUAGGCGGCGCGGUAAGUCACUUGUGAAAUCUCUGAGCUUAACUCAGAACGGUCAAGUGAUACUGCUGUGCUAGAGUGCGGAAGGGGCAAUCGGAAUUCUCGGUGUAGCGGUGAAAUGCGUAGAUAUCGAGAGGAACACCUGAGGUGAAGACGGGUUGCUGGGCCGACACUGACGCUGAUGCGCGAAAGCCAGGGGAGCAAACGGG